GUGGUAGGAAGCCCAAGAAAAAUAAGGAAAGAUUGCAUGUUCAGGAUGCUAAGUGUGGAUCUGUUGAACGGAGUGGUGAAAAAGUGGAAAAGGUUGAAGAGGAAAGCCCAGCGAAUGGUCAGACGAUGAAAGAGAAAGGUGAAGUUGAAGAGGCUGCUGCGAAGUGUAUUCGUAGAAGAGGUAGAAAGAAAGGAAGCAGAAAUGGCGGCAAAGUUGCUGGCUUAAAUCAGAAACAAAAUGCUUUUGUGGCUGAGAAAGGAGCAGAAGACGGUGAGGAAUUGCAAGACAGUGUUGGAAAAGAUGGUGAGAAGUGGGACAAUAUGGGGAG
rnacentral:misc_RNA from 1 species